rnacentral:lncRNA from 1 species
AGAUAGGCAUAUUUAGAAGUAGAUGCCAAUGGCGAAGAUUGGAAUUUAGAUGAAGGUGACCCGGCGGGAAUUGGCUUGCAAGAACUUUUCGCCGCUGGUACAUACUCAGCUAUAACAAAAUAUAGGUAUUUAGCCAAUCACUCCAUAUUUUUUAUCGUUUGAGUAAUCUUUAACAAUGUAAUAGGAUUUAUGUUUUCAUCGAAUAAACCCAAUUUCUUUACAUUGUUAAAAAAGUACCUACGCUACGUGGUUUUAUUAUAAAGUUACUUAUCUUCAAACGAGCAUCGAAUCGAGCAGUUGGGAGUUGCUUAGUAUGAAUUCUCGACACGCAUAAAAUAAAUCAAUUUAAUUCGUAACGUGCUUUGUGAAUCGUAAAACGAACUGGUUUCUUGCAACUACUGUACUUUUCUGUUGUAGGGAUUUACUUAAAUAUACGUAUUUUCCCUAUCAGUUGUAUAAAACACUCGUUAAAUCCAGUGAUGAUUUCAUUUUCCACCAGUACUUUGAAGAGUGGAGUGAAAAAUGAAGGUUCUAUUUGUUUUUGUUCUCUUUACGUUGUGCACUCAUAUUGUGUGGGGUGAUACUAUCCCUAUGCCUGGGAUGACUACUACGACUACUACAAAGCCUUGGACUAAACAAGUUAGAGAAGGACUG